rnacentral:rRNA from 1 species
GUCUGCUUGGAGAUAUAAGAAGUCUAGCCUGCUCUCUGAUUUUUUAAGGGCCGCGGUAAUUUGACUGUGCAAAGGUAGCAUAAUAGUUAGUUUUUUAAUUGGAAUCUUGUAUGAAUGGUUGGACAAAAGAAAUACUGUCUCUAUAAUUUUUAUUGAAUUUAACUUUUAAGUGAAAAGGCUUAAAUAAUUUAAAAAGACGAUAAGACCCUAUAAAGCUUGAUAAGUUAAUAUUAUUUAAUUAAAUUAGUAAUAAAAUUUUAAUAAUUUUUAUUAUUUUAUUGGGGAGAUAGAGGUAUAAUUAAAGAUAACUGUAGUUUAUGUGAUACAAAUAUAAAUGUUUAAAAUAGUAAAAGAUCCUAAUUAAAGAUUAAAAAUUUAAGUUACUUUAGGGAUAACAGCGUUAUUUUUUUUGAGAGUUCAUAUCGAAAAAAGAGAUUGCGACCUCGAUGUUGAAUUAAAAUUUCUAGAUAAUUGCAGAAGUUAUUGAAGAAGGUCUGUUCGACCUUUAAAUUUUUACAUGAUUUGAGUUCAGACCGGCGUGAGCCAGGUUGGUUUCUAUCUUUUAAGAAUAAAUAAAUUAUUUUAGUACGAAAGGAUUAAAUAAUUAAAAAUUUUUUAUAAAAUGGAAA